CAAGGAAGCGGUUACGAGCACGGAUGCACAAGGUAGUACGAAACACGAGGAUCAUCAAGGGAUAGAGAUCAAGGACCGAGUCACAUGAAGGAUUGUACGGGGUGUCUAUGAAUGCAAUUUGUUAUAAAUAAGUUAUGUUUUAUUCUAUAAUUGAGUUAGUUUGAUGUAUUCAAUAUAGAGGAGUUAUUUUAAAAGUGAACUUUCAAGUAAGACAUAAGGUUUAUAAUGAAAGAAAUUUUAUGGUA